rnacentral:rRNA from 1 species
ACACGACUACAUUAGAUACCCGUGUAGUCCUCGCCGUAAACGAUACUCGCUAGGUGUCGGCCACGGUGCGACCGUUGUCGGUGCCGUAGGGAAGCCGUGAAGCGAGCCACCUGGGAAGUACGGCCGCAAGGCUGAAACUUAAAGGAAUUGGCGGGGGAGCACAACAACGGGUGGAGCUUGCGGUUUAAUUGGAUUCAACGCCGGAAAUCUUACCGGGACCGACAGCAACAUGAAGGCCAAGCUGAAGACUUUGCCGGAUUAGCUG